rnacentral:rRNA from 1 species
CCUACGGGGGGCAGCAGUGGGGAAUAUUGGACAAUGGGGGCAACCCUGAUCCAGCCAUGCCGCGUGUGUGAAGAAGGCCCUCGGGUUGUAAAGCACUUUCAGUGAGGAAGAACGCCUGGUGGUUAAUACCCAUCAGGAAAGACAUCACUCACAGAAGAAGCACCGGCUAACUCCGUGCCAGCAGCCGCGGUAAUACGGAGGGUGCGAGCGUUAAUCGGAAUUACUGGGCGUAAAGCGCGCGUAGGUGGCUUGAUAAGCCGGUUGUGAAAGCCCCGGGCUCAACCUGGGAACGGCAUCCGGAACUGUCAAGCUAGAGUGCAGGAGAGGAAGGUAGAAUUCCCGGGGUAGCGGUGAAAUGCGUAGAGAUCGGGAGGAAUACCAGUGGCGAAGGCGGCCUUCUGGACUGACACUGACACUGAGGUGCGAAAGCGUGGGUAGCAAACAGGAUUAGAUACCCUGGUAGUC